ACACGACAUGCGUACGAAACCGAAGUAAACGACGCUGUCGAUACAAAGUCCGGCGGCCCACGAACCCUUCAGCUAAACGAGUUCGCAGUAAUCCUAACAGACCGCGAGACAAAGGAGCGACGCGGACCGAGUUCAGCUCACCUGGACGGGAAUUUCGCCGCCGCCGAACCCCGCCGGAUCGCACUUCGGGUCGCAACGCCGCCCUCCGGGGGCGAGGAGGAGGAGGUUGUUGCUUCGUGGUCGGCCACCGCGGUGGAUGCGUUGUGCCGCUUCGCAGCAGGUACGGCGCGAGGGCAGAGAAAUGAAGUCGGUGGUAGAGAAGUGGCGACCCAAGGGGGGGUUUUGUUAGGGUUUGGAGAUUCAUCUGGUUUAAGGCUGGAGAGAGUUUGUGGGCUGAUUCGAAGUUGGGCCUCUCUGUCUAACCCGGCUCAUUAAGAAGGAUUUCCCACAUUCUUUCUUCAAGUUCGGCCCUAUUUCCUCAGAAAAAUAUAUUGUAUUAUAUAAAUGACUAAAUCUACCUAAUUUUUAUUUAUAAUAUUGUCCUUGAUCACUCCAUUGCAAUUUAAAGUGGUAAUUCCAAAUUUAUUUAAUUUCUUUUUUUCUUUCUUUUAUAUUUUUUUGGAUCUAAUUAUCGUAAUUAAGUAUUUCGCAAGUUUUGUUUUGUUUUUUUCUGGGUCUCCCUUGUAUCUUAGAAGCAUUAUGUUUUUCUUUAUUAUUUUCACUUCCGUUGAGAUAAUUUUGAUUGGAAAAAGAAAUUUCCGAUAAACCUAAAAUAUAUGGAUUUAUUUUAAGGUAAAAUCUUGGAAAUCUUUUAACAUAAAUUUAAUUGUUUUUAAUACAUUCACAUCUUCGUUAACUUUUACUUUCGUCAUUCAAAUCAUCAUUAGACCCUUUCUUAUCUUAAAUUUUUUUAUAAAAGCUUUACGAAUGAUGUUAAUUUUUGUUGAUCCAAAUUAAUGACAUUUCAUUGGCAUUAAAAAACUCUUAUUUUAUGUUUUUUUUUGUUUUAAUUAAAUAUCAUCUUUUAAAGUGAGAAUGUAACUUGCGAUUUUAAUUUGGAAAACCUUUAAAGAGGAUUUUUUUAUUUAUUUCAUUCGAUUUUCCUAUUAAAUAUUUAUGUAUACAAAGACAAUUGAUAAAAAAAAAUAUAUGGUCUGAUGGUGAUACGCAUAGCACAAUUGAAAGUUUAUAAAUAAGUAAUUGUGUUGAACAAGUGUCUAUGCUAAUUUUUUCUAGCUUUUGUUUGACAAUUAAUUCGUGGAUUUGUUCAACGACAUAAAAAAUAAUCAUGUUUCGUUGGAAUUUCUCUUUUCAACAAACUAAUUUUCAAAGACAUAAAAUCAAAUAAUAAAAAGAAACCGCAGUGCCCUUAAUACAUUGGAUUUCACUUAUAAAUAAUAACAAAGCGAGUGAUAUUAUUAAUUACGGCAACAAAAUCCUUCGUAGAAACAGAAUAACUAAUUAAAGAAGGAAAGUAAAUAAGUUUGAGGCCACUUCUUUCAAUUGAAUGUGAAUUAUGAAAGGCAAUUCUAUCUUUUUGAUGAAAAUUAGAGUCAUAUAGGAGUGUAAAACAGGGUGCUCUUUUUCUAAUAUUUGCAAAAAGUGUAUGUUUGGAAUAACACCAAUCAAACAUAAUUAAAAAGGAGUUGGGGAGUAUAAUGGGAUUUAAUGGCAGAACCUCGUAUUCUUACAUCCACGAAGGGAAGAAAGUAAUGGCAACCCUCCCAGUUAUUGCAUCCGCAGAAACGAAGGGCAUUCAAUACCUUUCUUCAGCCAUCUGAAUCGGAACGUUGCCUAUAAUGGCGGGCUAAGAAAUUAGAUGAAGAGUAGAAAAUAAAAUCACAUCUAUUCAUAGAAAAAAUCUUGAUAUAGAACAAGUCCCAACAAAUUGACGAGUCUAUCGAGUCAUGUUUUCAUGGGCAUUGUCCAAUGAAUCGACCCUAAACGCUGAAGGUCACCCUAAGAAAAAAAAGAUUUUGAGCUCGCCAAGUGACGUUGAUUCAAUCCUCGUACCCCAAAUCAUGUUUUACUUAAAGAAAUUAUGGCUUUACUUAAAUUAGUAGAAGGAGGAUAUUAUUUAUUAACCACAACAAAAGCUAAUCCACAUCAAACCUGGUAGACACCUUAUCUAUGAAUAAUCAAAUAAUUUAAUUCUCAUCAUGAUAAGUGUGCGAGUGACUAAAGUUAAUAUAUAUAUAUGUAUAUAUGUAUAUAAUAAAUACGCAGAAGAAAUAUCCUAGGAAGUCCGAAAUGUCUCUUUCGAAAUGUCUCUUUCGCGGUUCGAAAUGUCAAUGGACCACCGAAAGAAAAUGGAAAGGGGUCCAGUCACCUGUCAAUUGACUUUACUUAAAAAAUGGACAAUCAAAAGGUACCACUUUCUUUUAAUGGGGCCACGGUGCAAUAAAGAUCGCAAGAUUUUUUUUGUUUCUUUUGUAUUUUACUUUUAUCUGGAGUAGUGCGUCGUGAUCAUGAAGCGCCCCGCAUGAUGGAUUUAAAAAAGAAAAUAAUGCACGCAUUUAAUAAUAAUAAUAAUAAAUCAGGAGGACUCAUUGGCCUCCCUCCAUUUCGGAGAAGUUUCUCAAGAAUGUGAUUCUUAAAGCGACAUAGCUUUUGCUUUCCAGUGUCUUUUCUUUUUUUUUUCUUUUUUUUUUAAAUAAGAGAGAAUUCAAAAGAAUAUGUGAUAAGUACAUGAAUUUAUUGCAAGAAAAAAAAGUGCAUAAGUUUCACUACAAAACAAAUCAAAAUAGAGUAAAUUUCAUAAUACUGCGAUAUAAAGCUAAAUCCAAAAAAUAAAGAGGAACAACUAAGCACCAAUAGAGUUAAAUACACACUUUUUUCCGGGAUUUGUUAAGCAAAAAAACGACCACCAGAGUUCAAAUCUUCCUUAUUGAUGAGCAUUGAGCACACUUUAUAAAUUCGUUUUCCAAUAACUAAAGCAUUGCUAGUUAGUUACACGUGCUCAUAUUUAGCUUUUUCUACACCGUUCCCAUACUAAGUCUAUCAACAAGUUAAAUAUCUAGAAAAGCAAAUCUUUGUGAUUUAGCAAGACGUCACGGUAGAGGAUUUGUAUUGAAUCCUCAAAAGCAUAUUUGUUAAAUUCUAAAAUCUAUAUCGAGAAAUGAUAGUUCUCAUAUCUGAUUAUGAGCCGAAAAAAGAAGAAGAAAAGAACGAUAAAAUACAAGUAAAAUCAACAAAAAGGAGGAGGUGAGGGUGGCUGAAGGUCGAAGAAGACGAGAAAAACUUGUCGACUCCUUGUGACAAUUGGGUCUAAAGUGUUUGACUCGCUCCCAAUGCCUAUAGUGUCUUUCAAAAAGCAGGAAUCCUUGUUUGAUUUCAUUCUUUAUUGUUGUAGUUGCUUUAAAAAGCCCCAGUUCUCGAGUAGAACCAAGAAGCUCCGUUCCCCGUUUCGAUCUUUCUGAAUCAUGCUUUAGGGGGUUCGAUCACCCUAAUGGAUGCUUUCACUUUAUUGGAAUAGUGCUAGUUAAGAGAAAAGUGACUUGGCUUUUGCCUUCUCGUCGCCCCAAACCUAAAACCCGAUAUUGAAUUUGUGUAAUUCGUCCUCUUGGGUUAAAGAGAGAGAGAGAGAGAGAGAGAGGUUAACUCCACGAAUUUUAAACAUCAAUCUUGAUGGACACAAAGCACCUUGUCAAAGGUUUUUUAAAUCAUCCGUAAGAAAAGAAAGGCGACGUCAAUUCUACCACACUUAGAGAAAUAAUGGGAUAAUUAUAAGGUGAGUCCUAAAAUCUGUCAACUUCCUAGUUCGUACAUUAAGUGCUCAAACCUUAAUUUCAUUGAUUUAAAUCCUAAAACUUACAAUCUCGAUGCACUGUGAGCAAUGAGCAUGUAUUCAAUUAGAUAAAAAGUUUAAAAAAAUUAUAACUUUAAUGCAAAAAAUGAAAAAUUUAGAAUUUAAAAACACAAAACUGACAAGUUUAAAGUUAAAUGUAAUUAUCCCAACAAACAAAUUACUAGCCGACCUUUUUGACUAUGGAUGUGAAUUGAAUUUGAUCCCACACUAAGAUAAAUUUUGCUUGUGUUUCUAGGUUAAUGCGUGCUAUAGAAGCUUUAAACAGAAUGACAAAUUGUAGGUAGGGACACCAACCAUAGAUAUGAAUAUUGAUAGAGAUCUCAGUGAUACUUUUGUAAAAGCAUCCAUAAGUAGAGUUGAUCAUAUUGCAAUUGAAUUGACCCUAUAUAGUCUGUUAAUUACAAAAAUAGCAUGAACAUGUGGGAUCUAGAUAGAUCUCAUCUUAAGAGAUCUUAUGUCCUCUCUAUACUAUAGUUUCGAUUUAGUCACCCGGUUGAUAAGAUCAAGAAGGUGCAUAUGAAGUUUCCUCUCGAAUAUGCAUGAUUGAUUCAUACUUUAUUUGCAAUUACAUGAUUAUAAAUAUGUUUUUCUUAGUAGCUAAUGAAGGAAGUACAGGAAUUACGCUUUUAAUAUUGGAUUGAAUUGAUUAUGCUGUCACUGCUUUAAUUGCGUACUGUCGGAUUUCAUCUCUAUCCAACGUCUAAUGAUGUCCGAUGGAAUUUUACAAGCUCGGGUGGAUUGUCCCAUAGAUGGAAUGAGGUUGACAUCGUUGUAUUGAUCCGAGUUAGAAAAAUUCGAUUUGGAUUAGGAGAUUUCGUCGAGUUCUGUUUCUGCUAGGGCGUUUCACGUUGCUCCAACCUGGAACUUUCCCUGAUGUUAACUGUGCAAAAACACAUAAAAAACGGGAAGAUGGAGAGGAAGUCAACUGUUGUCAACUUUCAGAGUUUCGAUGAUUAGACGUCGGGAAUUUGCCGUUUCUGCUUUAUCACCUCACCUAAUGAAAUAUGAAAUACCGACCAAAAAAAAAAAAAUGAUAUAACUGUAUAGGAUGUAGUGAAACGAAUCUGAUGUCCAAGUGCUUCUCGGAAUCUAAAAUUAGCAAGUUGAAUGAUGGCCAUGAGGUCGCAACCUUCAUCCUUUCUCACCAAGCAAAAGUGAACUUGAAUACGAUGAACAUUAACAGGAGCAAGAUAGAAAAGGAAAAAGAAAUAAAAGGGAAAUUUCUUUUUUUUUUUUGAGAAAUCAAGAGAAGAACGACGUUGUUUCAUCACGUCACAUUGUAUUUAUUAGUGGAGUGUUAUAUCAAAUAAAUCUACCGAGACUUUUGCAAGAGGACUCAUGGCAUUUUUUCUUAAAAGUUUAAGACUAUAUCUGUUCACUAAACAAGCUUGGGACUCGAUUGAUUUGUGUACAAUAAUUCCAGAAUAAUUGUGCAAUUUUCCCUUAACGAUGCUGGUUGAAAAACCCAAAAGAUAAAUAGACAAAUAAAUUAUCUUAAUUGGCAACAAUCAUAUUUCCAUCUUCAUCCAAAGUCCAAAGAUGUCCAAUGAAAUUCGACAAACUCAGGUCGAUUGACUUAUAGAUGGAAUGAGGCUGAAAUCUUUGUAUGCAUCCGAUUUAGAGAAAAAAUCGAUUUGGCUAAGAAGUUGUUUCAUCCAGUUCUGUUAUGUUUUAGGGCUUUUCUUGUUGCACCAACGUGGAACUUUCCUUUAUGUCAACUGUCCAACAAGACAUGUACUUUCAGAAAAUACUCGCGCCCGAAUAUUUUGUUUUUGGUAUGGAAAAGGAUUAGAGCCAAAUACAAAAAUCAACAUCAAGAAUCUACCAUCUCUCAAUGAAUUAGACUUCAGAGGUUGUAAUGAGGGGGUGCUGAAGAGUUUGGUAAGCCUAACAUCUCUAAUUGCUCUUGCUGUAGAAAUUAGAGAAUGCAAGGAAGUGGAGUUACCCGUGGAGUUAAAUCUAGACACUCUUCGGUCUCUUCAAGAGAUUAUAAUUUGCAAUCGUGAGGACUUGAGAAGCUUAUCCCAGGGUCCAAACACGCUGUCUCGGAUCACUUCUUUACAAUUGAUCAAUAUCCUGCUUUGGAUGUGGAGUGUUUCCCUCCUCUUCCUCGAGGCAUAUCCAAUUUUACUCUUCGGGGGUUGUUUGAAAAUAAAAUCGCUACCUAAUCAAUCACAUUGACUUAUAUGUCCCCGUGAUCUAAAUAUUACUAAUUGUGAGAGUACUACAUGCAUUCUUGAUGGAGGAUUGUCGUCCCAAUUACAGACAUUUAUGGUUCGUUUGGUAAUGCUUCUAUUUCAGGAAACAAUUUAUUUUCAAAACUAUUUCUAUUCCCGAAACAAUUUAUCAGUAAAAAAACAUGUUUGGUAAUCAUAUAAAAUUUAUAUUAUCGAAAUGGAAAAGUAAUAGGAAUGUGUUUGGUAUGAAUUACAAAUUCUUUUGUAAUGUAUAAUUUUUUAAAUUUUUUCUUCUUCUUCUUCCUUACCAUCGCCUCCACUCACCACUUAUGACCAUCGACAUUGUCACCUACCUCCAUUGACUGCCAAGGUCAACAGUCAAUCGGUGGCGGGUGGUGGAUGGCUGAUGGCAGGUGGCGGUUGACGGCGGUUGGCCGGCGGCGAUCGAUCAAUGGCAGAGGUUAGCUAGUCGGUGAGCGGCGGUGGCGAUGGGCUGCGGUUGGCCGAUGGCAGGCGGCAGAGGUGGCGACGGGCAAAGAAAAAGAAGAAAAAACUUGUUUUUAGAAAUUGUUCUCGAAAAUAAGAAAUUACUUUUUUAUACUUUUUAUUUUUGUUUCAAAUUUAUCGGUGAAUGGAAAAAUUAGUUGAUUUUACCGAACCGAUUUUGUUAUUUCAAAAGAAUAGAAAUUGGAAAAAAUAAAAACAUUACCAAAUGGAAUCUUAGUUUAUGGGAAUGUGGCAAUAUAAAACAGCCGGCGAGGAAGUGGCUUACCCCUUCUGGACAUUGACGGCAACGUCGGAGGAGCGGGGAAGGAGGAGGAGGA
rnacentral:lncRNA from 1 species